CACUCAACCCAGCCCAUUGUACGAACGAAGGCAAAUCGCGUGUGGGCAAUUCAGCGGCCAGGGCCUUCACGCGCAAGUUGCGGUCAUCCGUCAGCAGCACCACCUCUCGCACGCUACGCUGUUCCUUGCGGCGGAGCAGACGUCUGGUGGCCUCGUCUGCAUCCGGAGCCUCGCUCACGCUGGUCGGACCGCUCCUCGAACUCUCUUCGUCUUCGGAAUCUUCGGCCUGUUAACAAAAAAGAGCUCCUGUAAAUUACCUGUACCCAGGGCCGGAUUUAAGCUUAAUGCCGCUCCUGGGCAUCGGAAAAAAAUCCGCCCCAAUACUGGGAUUUAUACUUAAACUUUACUUUCAAAAUUAAAAUAACUAAUUUAUUGCAGAAACGUUAUCAUAAUAUAUUAUAUAUUCCAAAAAUAUAUAACAAAUUAUAAUAUUUGUGUUUUUUCUAA